GCAUAUCAAUAAGCGGAGGAAAAGAAACCAACAGGGAUUGCCCUAGUAACGGCGAAGUGAAGCGGCAACAGCUCAAAUUUGAAAUCUGGCUCUCGGGCCCGAGUUGUAAUUUGUAGAGGAUACUUUUGAUGCGGUGCCUUCCGAGUUCCCUGGAACGGGACGCCAUAGAGGGUGAGAGCCCCGUCUGGUUGGAUGCCAAAUCUCUGUAAAGUUCCUUCAACGAGUCGAGUAGUUUGGGAAUGCUGCUCUAAAUGGGAGGUAUAUGUCUUCUAAAGCUAAAUACCGGCCAGAGACCGAUAGCGCACAAGUAGAGUGAUCGAAAGAUGAAAAGCACUUUGAAAAGAGAGUUAAAAAGUACGUGAAAUUGUUGAAAGGGAAGCGUUUAUGACCAGACUUGGGCUUGGUUAAUCAUCUGGGGUUCUCCCCAGUGCACUUUUCCAGUCCAGGCCAGCAUCAGUUUUCCCCGGGGGAUAAAGGCGGCGGGAAUGUGGCUCUCUUCGGGGAGUGUUAUAGCCCACCGUGUAAUACCCUGGGGGGGACUGAGGUUCGCGCAUCUGCAAGGAUGCUGGCGUAAUGGUCAUCAACGACCCGUCUUGAAACACGGACCAAGGAGUCGUCUUCGUAUGCGAGUGUUCGGGUGUCAAACCCCUACGCGUAAUGAAAGUGAACGCAGGUGAGAGCUUCGGCGCAUCAUCGACCGAUCCUGAUGUUCUCGGAUGGAUUUGAGUAAGAGCAUACGGGGCCGGACCCGAAAGAAGGUGAACUAUGCCUGUAUAGGGUGAAGCCAGAGGAAACUCUGGUGGAGGCUCGCAGCGGUUCUGACGUGCAAAUCGAUCGUCAAAUAUGGGCAUGGGGGCGAAAGACUAAUCGAACCUUCUAGUAGCUGGUUUCC
rnacentral:rRNA from 1 species